rnacentral:rRNA from 1 species
UAGCAUAUCAAUAAGCGGAGGAAAAGAAACCAACAGGGAUUGCCCUAGUAACGGCGAGUGAAGCGGCAACAGCUCAAAUUUGAAAUCUGGCUCUUUCAGAGUCCGAGUUGUAAUUUGCAGAGGGCGCUUUGGCUUUGGCAGCGGUCCAAGUUCCUUGGAACAGGACGUCACAGAGGGUGAGAAUCCCGUACGUGGUCGCUAGCUAUUGCCGUGUAAAGCCCCUUCGACGAGUCGAGUUGUUUGGGAAUGCAGCUCUAAAUGGGAGGUAAAUUUCUUCUAAAGCUAAAUAUUGGCCAGAGACCGAUAGCGCACAAGUAGAGUGAUCGAAAGAUGAAAAGCACUUUGGAAAGAGAGUCAAACAGCACGUGAAAUUGUUGAAAGGGAAGCGCUUGCAGCCAGACUUGCUUGCAGUUGCUCAUCCGGGCUUUUGCCCGGUGCACUCUUCUGUAGGCAGGCCAGCAUCAGUUUGGGCGGUGGGAUAAAGGUCUCUGUCACGUACCUCUCUUCGGGGAGGCCUUAUAGGGGAGACGACAUACCACCAGCCUAGACUGAGGUCCGCGCAUCUGCUAGGAUGCUGGCGUAAUGGCUGUAAGCGGCCCGUCUUGAAACACGGACCAAGGAGUCUAACAUCUAUGCGAGUGUUUGGGUGUCAAGCCCGAGCGCGUAAUGAAAGUGAACGGAGGUGGGAACCCGCAAGGGUGCACCAUCGACCGAUCCUGAAGUUUACGGAAGGAUUUGAGUAAGAGCAUGGCUGUUGGGACCCGAAAGAUGGUGAACUAUGCUUGAAUAGGGUGAAGCCAGAGGAAACUCUGGUGGAGGCUCGCAGCGGUUCUGACGUGCAAAUCGAUCGUCAAAUUUGGGCAUAGGGGCGAAAGACUAAUCGAACUAUCUAGUAGCUGGUUCCUGCG